ACGCUGGCGGCAGGCCUAACACAUGCAAGUCGAGCGGCAGCACGGGUACUUGUACCUGGUGGCGAGCGGCGGACGGGUGAGUAAUGCCUAGGAAUCUGCCUGGUAGUGGGGGAUAACGCUCGGAAACGGACGCUAAUACCGCAUACGUCCUACGGGAGAAAGCAGGGGACCUUCGGGCCUUGCGCUAUCAGAUGAGCCUAGGUCGGAUUAGCUAGUUGGUGGGGUAAUGGCUCACCAAGGCGACGAUCCGUAACUGGUCUGAGAGGAUGAUCAGUCACACUGGAACUGAGACACGGUCCAGACUCCUACGGGAGGCAGCAGUGGGGAAUAUUGGACAAUGGGCGAAAGCCUGAUCCAGCCAUGCCGCGUGUGUGAAGAAGGUCUUCGGAUUGUAAAGCACUUUAAGUUGGGAGGAAGGGCAGUAAAUUAAUACUUUGCUGUUUUGACGUUACCGACAGAAUAAGCACCGGCUAACUCUGUGCCAGCAGCCGCGGUAAUACAGAGGGUGCAAGCGUUAAUCGGAAUUACUGGGCGUAAAGCGCGCGUAGGUGGUUCGUUAAGUUGGAUGUGAAAUCCCCGGGCUCAACCUGGGAACUGCAUUCAAAACUGACGAGCUAGAGUAUGGUAGAGGGUGGUGGAAUUUCCUGUGUAGCGGUGAAAUGCGUAGAUAUAGGAAGGAACACCAGUGGCGAAGGCGACCACCUGGACUGAUACUGACACUGAGGUGCGAAAGCGUGGGGAGCAAAC
rnacentral:rRNA from 1 species